rnacentral:tRNA from 1 species
GUCUGGCUGGCUCAUUUGGUAGAGCAUGUGACUUUUGGUCUCAGGUUGUGAGUUUGAGUCCCAUGUUGGGUG